rnacentral:rRNA from 1 species
CAAUAGCGUAUAUUAAAGUUGUUGCAGUUAAAAAAGCUCGUAGUUGGACUUCUGAUGUGGGACUGCGCCCCGGUAUUUUGCCGUUGGGUGCGGGCUCGCGUCUUCCUCUCGUAGUUGGAUGGUGCACUUAACUGGGUGCCUUCUGAAUAUGGGACCUUUACUUUGAAAAAAUUAGAGUGUUCAAAGCAGGCAAUCGCUUGAAUAUAUUAGCAUGGAAUAAUAACAUAGGAUCUUGGUUCUAUUUUGUUGGUUUCUAGGACUAAGAUAAUGAUUAAUAGGGACAAUUGGGGGCAUUCGUAUUGCGGUGUCAGAGGUGGAAUUCUUAGAUUACUGCACGACGAACUACUGCGAAAGCAUUUGCCAAGGAUGUUUUCAUUGAUCAAGAACGAAAGUAAGGGGAUCGAAGAUGAUUAGAUACC